GACGAACGCUGGCGGCGUGCUUAACACAUGCAAGUCGAACGGAAAGGCCCUGCUUUUGUGGGGUGCUCGAGUGGCGAACGGGUGAGUAACACGUGAGUAACCUGCCCUUGACUUUGGGAUAACUUCAGGAAACUGGGGCUAAUACCGGAUAGGAGCUCCUGCUGCAUGGUGGGGGUUGGAAAGUUUCGGCGGUUGGGGAUGGACUCGCGGCUUAUCCGCUUGAUGGUGGGGUAGUGGCUUACCAAGGCUUUGACGGGUAGCCGGCCUGAGAGGGUGACCGGCGACAUUGGGACUGAGAUACGGCCCAGACUCCUACGGGAGGCAGCAGUGGGGAAUAUUGCACAAUGGGCGGAAGCCUGAUGCAGCAACGCCGCGUGCGGGAUGACGGCCUUCGGGUUGUAAACCGCUUUCGCCGGUGACGAAGCGUGAGUGACGGUAAUGGGUAAAGAAGCACCGGCUAACUACGUG
rnacentral:rRNA from 1 species